AGGUGUGAUCAUUCUAGUACUAAUGCAUUAGAUUCCAUCACAAUUUUGUAGUUAAGUGUGUUUGGACGAGAGUAUAUUAUUAAGAUGGGUGACCUCCUGCGAAGUUCCGACCCUUU
rnacentral:rRNA from 1 species